UCUAGAAGUCUAUUAAUAUUGUCAUUUUAUAACACUAGCUGUGUCCCAACCUGGGACAUGUGAUCCCUGACCUGUAGAUGGGGUGGCCCAGGGACAGAGCCACUUUGAAGAAUCAGGCCCCUGUCCCCCAUCCCCUCACCACUCCCUCAAGUUAGUUUCACAAUUAAAACAUUUUCUUGUUUCCGGGUGUGUGCUCUGUGAAGGCUGCUGUCCCGCUGUUUGGGGUCUGGGCCUGGGAAUAUAGGCUUCAUUGGAGAGACUCCACCCUGCUCCCUAUAUGGAACAAGUGGGCCUCAACUCUGGAAGCAGCCUGUGGGCCAGAGUACAAGCCCCCACAUCCCAGCGACCUGGAAUUAUUGUUUCUUCCUGAAAAAGAAAACAUUGAUUUGUUGUUUUGAGACAGGGUCUCACUACAUAGUUUUGGGUGGCCUAAACUCACUAUGUAACCUGGUUAGCUUCAAACUUGCAGCACUCCCCUGCCUCUGUCUCCUGAUUGCUGCUGUGAUCACUGGUGAACGCUGACACAGUCACCACACAUGGCCUUGUCCUGGAAAUGUUAUGUGUUGAUCCUAACUAGUGUAGGAACCAGCAGAUGAGUUCUUUGGGGUUGACGAGGCUGAGUAACCUGGAGCUAGCAGCCUGUACUUGGCCAAGGAGAGUCCUCCAAGCCCAGCAAUGGGGGAGAAGGGCGCUAUAGCGGCCAGCACCCUGCCUUUGUUGCCUGAGCACAUCCAUCACUGCUUCUGAGAUUCCCCAAGAGGAAGCUAGCGGAGGAGUGAGGGCCAGCGGGCUCCUGGACACCAGGACUUCAACUCAGGGCUACCCAGUUCACCCGUGUCUACUGCUGCACAGCUCCGGCCUCCAGAGGGUCGGGACCCGUAUGUGGUAGGACCGUGCCAAGUGCCUGGUGAUCUUACAGGCAGCCGGCUGCCUCUUCCCACUCCUGGGUGCCACCCUCCAGCAGGCACAGGUCCUGAGUUCGUGGGGCACAUACUGAUUUUGCAGCAGAGUGAGGAUCUGAAUUCAGGAUAUCUGGACAUGGUUUCUCACCAGGGCACGUCCUUCCCGCCCAGGAGGAAUGGAACCCAGAGCCUCUUGGAAGCACAGUGGUCCCCUAUGUGAGGAGUCCGAGACCAUAGCAAAAGUGCCACCCUGGGGACUUUGCUAGUAAUCGGAUGUUCAGCCUGAUAUGCUGGUGAACUGGGAGUCCAGCCUGAGCUACAAGCUGUGGAACAAACAUCUUGCAUCACCACAUGCUCUCCACAUAGAGUCACUUCAGGCCCAAACCAAAAAAAGGCCAGUGAUAAUUUCUGAUGCCUCCAAAACUGCGAGCCAAAAGAGUCUUUUCUGGGGCUAACUUUACUAGAUUCUAGGGACUUGUGUUUUUUUCUUUCUUGGGGUCUCAUGUAUCCCGGCGCUGUUUGUGAACUCUCUGCCUUAAGCCCUGCCUCCACCUUCUGGACGCUUUCUCCACUGUGUGCCCUUUUCUUCAGCGCUGAGGCUUAAUCCCAGGUGUGUGCCGAGUCAGCACCCUCUAAGCUGAGCUUCACCCCAGUCCAGUUCUGUUAAUUAUAAGCUAACAUCAGACUCCUUGGACAAAUGCUUGUUCUAUUUUAUUUUUUGUCACGUGAACAGUGGCCCACGAGAUCCACCGCUGUACUUAUUUUCUACUUCCUGGAUUUGUACAAAUCCCCUUAAUUAAAAGAGUAGAUAUUCUUGAUGGUUGUGUUUCCUGUCAAGAUAUAAUUAACACAUGAUAAACACACUCAUUUAAAAAAACAUUAAGACAGGGCCAGGUGGUGGAGACACGCAUCUUUGAUCCCAGCACUUGGGAAGCAGAGGCAGGCAGAUCUCUAUGAGUUCAAGGCCAGCCUGGUCUACAAAGUGAGUUGCAGAACAGCCAGGACUGUUACACAGAGAAACCCUGUCUCUUUGACAAAUGCAUCUGCCCAAGUUGCAACUAUUCUUAAGAUGGAACUUUCUAGACCUGGUGUGGUGGUGCAGGACUUUAAUCCCAGCACACAAGAGGCAGAAACAGGUGGAGCCCUGUGAGUUCCAGGCUAGCCUGAUCUACAUAUCUAGUUCCAGGACAGCCUGGACUG